CCCUUUGAUGUCCCGGGCGACACGCGUGCUACAAUGAUAAUGACAAUGAGUUUUCGAGUAUCGUCCAUCGUGGCGAGCUUGUAUCCUGCUUUGAAAAGAGUGGGUAAUCUUUGAAUCAUUAUCUUGAUGGGAAUUGGAAAUUGGAAUUGUUUUCCAUGAACGAGGAAUCUCUAGUAAGUGUAAUUCAUCAUAUUACAUUGGAUGCGUCCCUGCCUUUUGUACACACCGCCCGUCGCUUCAUCUGAUGAAUGGAAAUGUGAGGAUGUUGGAUGAUUGGUUCUGAGGGGCAACCUUUGGAGCAUUGUCAAAAGCCAUUCAAAUAUUUUCAUUUAGAGGGAGAAGAAGUCGUAACA
rnacentral:rRNA from 1 species